GAGUUUGAUCGUGGCUCAGAUUGAACGCUGGCGGCAUGCCUUACACAUGCAAGUCGAACGGCAGCACGGGAGCUUGCUCCUGGUGGCGAGUGGCGAACGGGUGAGUAAUGCAUCGGAACGUAUCCUGGGGUGGGGGAUAACGUAGCGAAAGUUACGCUAAUACCGCAUAUUCUGUGAGCAGGAAAGCGGGGGACCUUCGGGCCUCGCGCUCUUGGAGCGGCCGAUGUCGGAUUAGCUAGUUGGUGAGGUAAAGGCUCACCAAGGCGACGAUCCGUAGCAGGUCUGAGAGGAUGAU
rnacentral:rRNA from 1 species